CCGCUUCUUCUUUCUUCUUUUCCUUUUUUUUUUUUCUUCUUCCGUUCCCGAUUCACCUUCUCUUCUCUCAGCUCUUCCCUUCUUCUUCUCAUAUUCUUCUCAACCCUCCCCCUUUCUUCUCCUUUCUUCUCCCACGGAGGGAGGAGGCGAGCUUGGGAGGGGCCAGGCCAUGACCGGCAGUGCCUCCAGCCGAGCCCGCUGCGCCCUCGAUCGCGUUUGCAGCCGACGCUCGCGGCCUAUGCGCACGGCCGAGCCGAGGCUGGAGGCUCCCGUGACGUCCGUGGAUGCUCCCCGUGAUGCCGACGAACUCGCAGCCGCACACGGGAAAGGGAAAAUGAGGUGGUUGGGAGGCUUACCUGGUUUCGGGGGUGAACUGUGAUGACCCUCUUCGACGGCUCUCUUCCUC